rnacentral:lncRNA from 10 species
ACCUGCAAGCUCACUCUGUCUGUGGACUGUACCAUUAGUUUCUGAGCCAGUUUGAGUUUCAGUCACUUUCAACCAAGAGUCUUGACCAAUCUAGUAAGUCAAGGAGCUGUGUAUGGAAGAAGAGGAAGCGAAGAGUUUAAAGCAGGUUGAUAAAAAUCUCAAACCUAAGCCUAAGCAUAUGGCUUAGCCUUUAUUCUGUAGAGAGCAGGGAGCCAUCCAGGCAUUCAGAGGAGGGGAUUAUUGGGAGUAAUGAUUUAGGGAAUCAGUCUGGCAAGAAUGUCCAGGAUGGAGUGCCCUGCAGCAAACCCCAAGAACCCAGGAGAGAAGGGCUUGUAUUGCAGGGCUUGGCACAAGGAGGCUUAAGAAACAUGUGAAGCAAUAAAUCAAGGAAGAAAAGAGGUCAAUGGUAACAGCUGUAUGAAGGCAAAAUUGUUCAACCCAUGGAAGAACUUCCCAAAAAUCAGAACCACCUCCUAUGUCAACAUGCACCUGUCUGAGAUGGAGAGCUGAGCUGUACUUCCCGGGAGGGGUCUCAAAGGGUACGGGCCCACAAGACUUCUGAGGACACUUCUUUUCCUGCUUCCUGAAAUGUGUACUCAAAUCAGACUACAGAAAAAAAUGAUAGGGUUGCAUAUUUUCUUUUUUUCCUUCCUCAUUAAAAACUCUCAACAAUACUACGUAUCAGAAGAAAGACAUUCAAAUAUGCUGUACUCAGCAAUUCAAAUUGGUGUUGAAGGUAAAACAUCUCCUAUCAUUUGAGGAAUUCCUCCUAACCAGAAUUCAACAGGCAGGCUGCCAAUUCAUCAAGCUCCAGGAGACACCGUG